GCCCGCGUAGCUCAGUGGAUAGAGCGUCUGCCUCCGGAGCAGAAGGUCGUAGGUUCGAAUCCUGUCCGCGGGCA
rnacentral:tRNA from 1 species